ACAUUAGAGAGUUUGAGCAAGAGAACGAAGUCGGACGACGACGACGUGUUGACAAUUUUUGCCUGUCUUGAACAUUAUCUUGCGCAUUCUAAGUUUAGGGUCAGGAGUGAAGACAGAUUAGAGAUUCAUGUCUAGCUGUUUAUGAAUGUUGACCCAAAUCCUUACCCUGAUCAGGAUAAAACAGCGAGACAUGAAUCCAUAUCCCGUCUUCGUUCUUCUGCCUUCGUUCACAACGAAUAUUUUGGCAAAAUUCGUUGUGAACUUCGUUCUGCACGAAGACACAAGGACAAAGACUGGAUAUAGUUUCAUGUCUCGCUGUUUUUUUCUGGAUCAGGGCAAGAAUUAUGGUCAGUAUUCAUAAACAGCGACACAUGGGAAGACACGUUGAGCAACCACCAGUGAUGUCCAACACAGUAUGCACAAGAUAAUGUGCAGACGGCAAAAAAUGUCAAGUAUGCCUUCGUCUUCGUACUUCGUUGUCUUGCUCAAAC
rnacentral:lncRNA from 1 species